AGAGUUUGAUCCUGGCUCAGGACGAACGCUGGCGGCGUGCUUAACACAUGCAAGUCGAACGAGAUUCACUCAGUCGCAAGACUGAGGAAGAUCUAGUGGCGAACGGGUGCGUAACACGUGAGGAACCUAUCCCAGUCUCUGGAAUAACAGGUGGAAACACCUGCUAAUACUGGAUGCCGCUGGACCGCCGCAUGGUGGACCAACGAAAGAUUUAUCGGAUUGGGAGGGCCUCGCGGCCUAUCAGCUUGUUGGUGAGGUAACGGCUCACCAAGGCGCCGACGGGUAGCUGGUCUGAGAGGAUGAUCAGCCACACUGGGACUGAGACACGGCCCAGACUCCUACGGGAGGCAGCAGUGGGGAAUCUUGCACAAUGGGCGAAAGCCUGAUGCAGCAACGCCGCGUGCGGGAAGAAGGCCCUAGGGUUGUAAACCGCUUUCAGCAGGGAAGAAAAUGACGGUACCUGCAGAAGAAGGUGCGGCCAACUACGUGCCAGCAGCCGCGGUGACACGUAGGCACCAAGCGUUGUCCGGAUUUAUUGGGCGUAAAGAGCUCGUAGGCGGUUCGGUAAGUCGGGUGUGAAAACUCUGGGCUCAACCCAGAGACGCCACCCGAUACUGCUGUGACUAGAGUGCGGUAGGGGAGCGGGGAAUUCCUGGUGUAGCGGUGAAAUGCGCAGAUAUCAGGAGGAACACCAGUGGCGAAGGCGCCGCUCUGGGCCGUGACUGACGCUGAGGAGCGAAAGCGUGGGUAGCAAACAGGAUUAGAUACCCUGGUAGUCCACGCCGUAAACGUUGGGCACUAGUGCGGGUCUCAACCAACGAGAUCCGCGCCGUCGCUAACGCAUUAAGUGCCCCGCCUGGGGAGUACGGUCGCAAGACUAAAACUCAAAGGAAUUGACGGGGCC
rnacentral:rRNA from 1 species